rnacentral:rRNA from 1 species
GACGAACGCUGGCGGCGUGCUUAACACAUGCAAGUCGAACGAUGAAGCCGGAGCUUGCUCCGGUGGAUUAGUGGCGAACGGGUGAGUAACACGUGAGCAAUCUGCCCUUGACUCUGGGAUAACUGCGGGAAACUGUAGCUAAUACCGGAUACGACACCUUGGGGCAUCCCAGGGUGUGGAAAGAAUUUCGGUCAAGGAUGAGCCCGCGGCCUAUCAGGUAGUUGGUGAGGGAAUGGCUCACCAAGGCGACGACGGGUAGCCGGCCUGGGAGGGGGACCGGCCACACGGGAACUGAGACACGGUCCAGACUCCUACGGGAGGCAGCAGUGGGGAAUAUUGCACAAUGGGCGAAAGCCUGAUGCAGCAACGCCGCGUGAGGGAUGAAGGCCUUCGGGUUGUAAACCUCUUUUAGCAGGGAAGAAGCGAAAGUGACGGUACCUGCAGAAAAAGCACCGGCUAACUACGUGCCAGCAGCCGCGGUAA